AACGAACGCUGGCGGCAGGCCUAACACAUGCAAGUCGAGCGCCCUUUCGGGGGAGCGGCGGACGGGUGAGUAACGCGUGGGAAUAUGCCCUUCUCUACGGAAUAGCCUCGGGAAACUGAGAGUAAUACCGUAUACGCCCUGUGGGGGAAAGAUUUAUCGGGGAAGGAUUAGCCCGCGUUGGAUUAGGUAGUUGGUGGGGUAAUGGCCUACCAAGCCGACGAUCCAUAGCUGGUUUGAGAGGAUGAUCAGCCACACUGGGACUGAGACACAGCCCAGACUCCUACGGGAGGCAGCAGUGGGGAAUCUUAGACAAUGGGGGCAACCCUGAUCUAGCCAUGCCGCGUGAGUGAUGAAGGCCUUAGGGUUGUAAAGCUCUUUCAGCUGGGAAGAUAAUGACGGUACCAGCAGAAGAAGCCCCGGCUAACUCCGUG
rnacentral:rRNA from 1 species